rnacentral:rRNA from 1 species
CAAUAGCGUAUAUUAAAGUUGUUGCAGUUAAAAAGCUCGUAGUUGAAUUUUUGCUUGCCGCCGAUGUCGGAACUUCCGUACGUUCGGCGGCGUGCAUCCUUGGGUGGAACCUGUGUGGCAUUAGGUUGUCGUGCAGGGGAUGCUCAUCGUUUACUGUGAAAAAAUUAGAGUGUUCAAAGCAGGCUUACGCCGUUGAAUAUAUUAGCAUGGAAUAAUAAGAUAGGACCUUGGUACUAUUUUGUUGGUUUGCGCACCGAGGUAAUGAUUAACAGGGACAGUUGGGGGUAUUCGUAUUCCAUUGUCAGAGGUGAAAUUCUUGGAUUUACGGAAGACGAACUACUGCGAAAGCAUUUACCAAGGAUGUUUUCAUUAA